CUAAUGUCAUGCACGAGUCAUUGUCCGAGAAAGGAAAGGAGAAAGUGGACAAGAAGUGACUCGAGAGAAAUUCCGGUUAGUAUUACCAUAAUUCGAAUUUAAUUAUUAAUUGUUAAAAUUUAAAUUAAUAUACAUGAUAAGCAAAUUGAGGUAAGCAUCACGACUGAAUUGAAUGAUAAAUACGUAUUGGUAUUGAAUUUAUUAAUAGUAAUUAUUGAAUUUUGAAUAAUAUGUUUAGUAUUAAAAAAAAUAGAUGAAUAUUGAUAUUGAAUUGUACAUGAAUUCGAUUGGAAAAUGAAUUAAAAAUAUAUAUAUGAAUGGAAUAAAAGUGAAUUAAAUUGUGAAUAAGUGUGAUAUAUGUGAAUGGUGGAAUAAGUAGUAAAUUGUAAUGACGGAGAAAUGAUAAAUCCUUUUUGAAAUAAUUUUGUAAAGUAUUUAAAUAAAUGAGAUUCAGAUUUAAUGCCCAAGUAGAUGGAAUUUAGAACUACCAGGAUAUUAGUGGCAUGCCAUUAAGGAACUUAUUAAGGAACUUUAGCGCGCUCUCUGAUAUUAGCACAUUGGUGCUCUCUGAUAUUAGCACGUUGUUGCUCUCUGAUUAUUAGCACGUUGGUGCUCUCUGAUUAUUAUCACGUUGGUGCUCUCUGAUAUUUAGCACGGCAGUGCUCUCUGUUUAGCACAUUUGUGCUCUCUGUAUUUGUUCCGUAUAUCCGGGGUGUUCUGUAAAGUCUACUUUGGGCUAAGAUUAUAAGCUGUGGACAAAAGUGAAUCAUUAAUGUGUUAAGGUAAGUCUUAUAAAGUUUAUAUGUACCGUUUUAGGCAUAAUGUGCCGUAUUGGUGUGUUUUGGUUGGAUCCGUGUAUCCGCCAAGAUCUGAGUCAAGUUAAUAGGGGUAAAUGAAUAAUUUUGAUAAUAUAAAUUUUUAUUGAAUGAUCUUGAAUAUGAAUUGAAAUAGCUAUUGUUAAGAAGUGAGAAGUGAAAAUAAAAUAAUUUGAAAGAGUGAAAUAAUAUGUGAAUUUAACUGAAUACAAGUUAUUGAAAUUUAGUUAUGGAUUUAAUGAAUAAAUUGAGUGUUAAAAGAUUUACAGUACAUAUUGGUUAUAAAUAGAAAUGAUAAUGAAUGAGUUGAUAAAUUGAUUAAAUUUGUAUGAAUUGGAAUGAAUUAUUAGAAUGAGAUGUCGAAAAAUCCAAUAGAAUUGAGAUAGUG
rnacentral:lncRNA from 1 species